rnacentral:rRNA from 1 species
UACGGAGGGGACUAGCGUUGUUCGGAAUUACUGGGCGUAAAGCGCACGUAGGCGGAUCAGCAAGUUAGGGGUGAAAUCCCGGGGCUCAACCCCGGAACUGCCCUUAAAACUGUUGGUCUAGAGUUCGAGAGAGGUGAGUGGAAUUCCGAGUGUAGAGGUGAAAUUCGUAGAUAUUCGGAGGAACACCAGUGGCGAAGGCGGCUCACUGGCUCGAUACUGACGCUGAGGUGCGAAAGUGUGGGGAGCAAACAGG